GGUCACUCGUACCGGACUCCCGUUCGUGUCAACGCUGCCCCUUGGCCGAGGUAAAGGGGACGAAGCGCAGGUGAACGCGUUCUCACACUUUGAGUGACUAUGAUUAUGUUAUGAAUUAGUGAUCUUGCGAUAUUAAAGUGGAAACGCGGCGCCGAGAGAGAGACGACGAUGAGCGCAGGGAACCGCAAACCCUUCGUUCUUCACCGUGAGGACGCGUCCUAAUUUACAUAUGAGCGAGAGCGCGCGGCCCCCAAGCCUGGGGCCCCAGCCAGGUGUGCUCAUUAGAGUCACCUGUGAGCGCGCGCGCGACCGGCGAUGAGACGCGCUUGGCACGAGGCGACCGCAUAAAAAGUUAUGGCCCUGGAAGCGCUUAUAGAGGAAGCGUUUGCUGCUAAAAGUACAGCAAAAAUUGGUGCUGCUCUUCUUGGAGAAAAAAAUUCAAAGUCUUUGAUGAACAGGCUGGACAAAAUAACUAGUAAGGAACUUGACAAAAAUGAAUUCCACAACAUCUUCCUGCUUUUGAGAGCCCUCGACACUCUGUGCGAAAGUGACGAAGACCUCAUCCGCUCCUUUGUUCAGCAAGGCCUCGUGAUGAAGAUAGGUGUCCUUUCUUUUCUACCGCAUCUCACAUGCGCUCAUCACAAAGAUGCUUGUGCGUUAUGUCAUGCACUUAAUACUUUUACUGUACCUUUGCUUUUGCGGAAUGCACAUGCUGGUGUGGUUCGAAAGAGCCACGGAGUUUCUAAAGAUGGAGGCUUUGAGGUACUCUAAAGGUCUACCAAACCUGAUCGAGGAGUUCUAUGAUAUUUCUAUGAGUAUAUGCCGGACCAGUUCUGAAGGUGAAUUUCCCCCACUCGCUUCUCUGCUGAUUUCUUCAGCAUAUGAUAAGCGUGGAAAUGUUUCUUUAAUAGCUUUGUGAUUAGAAGUCAUAGAAUAAUAGAAAAACCUUUAUGCAGCUACGCC
rnacentral:lncRNA from 1 species